rnacentral:rRNA from 1 species
CGGGGUGAGUAAUGUAUGGGGAUCUGCCUGAUAGCGGGGGAUAACUACUGGAAACGGUAGCUAAUACCGCAUAAUGUCUGCGGACCAAAGCGGGGGACCUCCGGGCCUCGCGCCAUCAGAUGAACCCAUAUGGGAUUAGCUUGUAGGUAAGGUAACGGCUUACCUAGGCGACGAUCCCUAGCUGGUCUGAGAGGAUGAUCAGCCACACUGGGACUGAGACACGGCCCAG